rnacentral:rRNA from 1 species
UACGUAGGGUGCGAGCGUUAAUCGGAAUUACUGGGCGUAAAGUGUGCGCAGGCGGCGCUGCAAGUCGAGUGUGAAAUCCCCGAGCUUAACUUGGGAAUUGCGCUCGAAACUACGGCGCUGGAGUAUGGCAGAGGAAGGUGGAAUUCCACGUGUAGCGGUGAAAUGCGUAGAGAUGUGGAGGAACACCGAUGGCGAAGGCAGCCUUCUGGGCCAAUACUGACGCUCAUGCACGAAAGCCAGGGGAGCAAACGGG